GUGAACAAUUAAGGGCGCGCGGUGGAUGCCUAGGCUCUCGGAGGCGAUGAAGGACGCGAUAAGCCGCGAUAGGCCACGGCGAGGUGCAAGUAACCCUUGACCCGUGGAUUUCCGAAUGGGGCAACCCGGCCGUCUAGAUGACGGUCAUGCAGUAAUGCAAGCGAACGCGGGGAACUGAAACAUCUCAUUACCCGCAGGAGAAGAAAACAAAAUGUGAUUCCCCCAGUAGUGGCGAGCGAACGGGGAAGAGCCCAAACCGUUGCCGUUUCGGCGACAGCGGGGUCAUGGGACCGCGACAUUCGACGGAAGACGAAGUGCAAUUACCUGGAAAGGUAAGCCGUGGAGGGUGACAGCCCCGUGCACGACACCUCUUUCGAAGAUAGCGGGAUCCCGAGUAGGGCGGGACACGAGAAAUCCUGCCUGAAUUCGCCAGGACCGCCUGGCAAGGCUAAAUACUCCCGAGAGACCGAUAGUGAACCAGUACCGCGAGGGAAAGGUGAAAAGUACCCCGAGCAGGGGGGUGAAAUAGACCCUGAACCCGCGCGCCUACAAGCGGUCGGAGCCAUGAAAUAUGGUGACGGCGUGCCUUUUGCAUAAUGAGCCUACGAGUUAGUCGUCACCAGCGAGGUUAAGGGCUUCAGGCCCGUUAGCCGAAGUGAAAGCGAGCCUUAACAGGGCGUCGAGUUGGUGGCGCUAGACG
rnacentral:rRNA from 1 species